rnacentral:rRNA from 1 species
AACGAACGCCGGCGGCGUGGAUAAGACAUGCAAGUCGAACGGGGCCAGGUUUGUAGCAAUACAAGCUUGGUUCAGUGGCGCACGGGUGCGUAACACGUGAGCAAUCUGCCGGGAAGUGGGGGAUAGCUCGCCGAAAGGCGAAUUAAUACCGCAUGUGGCCAUCCUUCGAGUGGAGGAAAAGCCAAAGCAGCAAUGCGCUUCCUGAUGAGCUCGCGGCCUAUCAGCUCGAUGGUGGGGUAAUGGCUCACCAUGGCAUUGACGGGUAGCUGGUCUGAGAGGACGACCAGCCACACUGGAACCGAGAUACGGUCCAGACACCUACGGGAGGCAGCAGUGGGGAAUAUUGGACAAUGGGGGGAACCCUGAUCCAGCCAUGCCGCGUGUGUGAAGAAGGCCUUAUGGUUGUAAAGCACUUUAAGCGAGGCGGAGGCUCUUUUGGUUAAUACCCAAGAUGAGUGGACGUUACUCGCAGAAUAAGCACCGGCUAA